GCAGAAAGUGAUGAAUCAGAGGCUGAAGUGAAGUUACAAAGUUAUACUCCUAUGCAAAGGAAGACUUGGCCUGUGACCAGCCUGAUUGACUGCAGGAGGGGACCAGUCAGAGCAAGAAGGCAGCCAUCUGUAGGGCAGGAAGAGAGCCCUCACCAGAACUUGACCAUGCUGGCACCCUGAUCUCAGACUUCUAGCCUCCAGAACUUAUCUUACAGAGCAAGACUGCAGAUCAAGAUUUUCCAACGUGGUGCUGACUUUUUUGAGAACAGUUAAUGAGAACUAGGAAAGUCCUUGCAGACCAUCCAGUCCAGCGGCUUUCAAAUGGAAAAUGUGAAAGGACAACAGAAUCACAUGGAUUCUUUUCUGAACUGCUUUUUUCCAGUGAUGCCAUAUUCUAUAAGACUUCAUGUGAAGGUGUGGAGGACGGGAUGUACUCACAUCCCAACAAAUUGAAAAUGCUGACCAAUCCCAGCACAGCCAACUCGAAUUUGCUCCUUCAUCAA
rnacentral:lncRNA from 1 species